UCUCAAGUCUACUGCCGCCCUCCCCUCUCCCAUUUGGCCUCUCCGUCACUCGUCUGGUAUAGCCGUGCGCCUCCCGCCGAUCGCUCCUCUGCUCCACGCUGUCAACGUCGUUCUACGUUCGGUUCCUGCGUCCGCUGGUCUGCUUGCUUCUUUGCUCUUCUCCGCCGCUUCCUCUGCUCCAGUCUUACCGUCGGGUGCUGCUCCUCGCCGCGCCCUCAGUCACUGCACGAUAAUCUUUUGAAGGAAGAGUUUCCAUCUCUCGAUCAAUCACUACAUUUGCAGAAAGCAAGCCCACAAGUUGUGCACCAAAUAUUCACACCAUCAAUCUCUUCUUCUUCGUCAAUCUUCCUCCUCUCUCUAAAUUGAAGCACCUUUGGAUUGUGAACAUUGAAGAGCUCGAAUCCCUACCUCCAGAUGGACUGCGGAAUCUCACUUGUCUUCAAGAAUUAAGUUUUUGGUCUUGCCCGGCAUUGAAGUGUCUGCCUCAAGAUUGCAUUCCCUCACCUCUUUACGAAUGUUGGAUAUCCGGGACUGUCCCCAAUUGAAGAAGAGAAGUGGAAAUAAAAAGGGUGAGAAUUGGGAAUUCAUUUCACACAUCCAAAAUAUUGAAGUUGAUAGACAAACAAUUCAAGAGGAGGGCCAGUAUCUACUGGAUGAUGAAGCUUCGAUCAAUGAAGGAUAAGUUUUCAACUGUUGGAUGUGUUUCUUCCAAAAUGAGCACUGUAUUGCUUUUGAGUUCGUAAGUAUCCUUUUGUCAUUAUUUCUUUACAAUCAAGGUCAAUAAUAAAAUUUAUUUGCUUUAUAAUAA